rnacentral:rRNA from 1 species
UGAUUUAUAGAGUCUGGCCUGCCCACUGGGGAAUCUAAAGGGCCGCGGAAUUUUAACCGUGCAAAGGUAGCAUAGUCAUUAGGCUUUUAAUUGGAGUCUUGUAUGAAUGGCCGGACAAGAACCUAGCUGUCUCAGAAGUAAAGAUUGAAAUUGACUUUCGGGUGAAAAGGCUUGAAUAUUUUAAAGGGACGAUAAGACCCUAUAAAGCUUAAUAAUUUNACAAAUAUUUAAAUAAUUUAUUAGUAUAAUAUAAUUUGAUUGGCAAAUUAUUUCGUUGGGGCGACGAUAAUAUAAUUUGUAACUGUUUAAGAGNUUUAAUUCAGAUAUAUCUGUAUUUAGUGAUCCAUUANCCAUGAUUAAAAGUUAAAGUUACUUUAGGGAUAACAGCGUUAUUUAUUUUGAGAGUUCAUAUCGACAAAGAAGUUUGCGACCUCGAUGUUGAAUUAAAAUNUUUAUCAUNGGCGUAGCAGUCCAGGAUAGUNAGGUCUGGUUCACCUUNNAAA